UAGGUGAGCGGGUGAGGAUGAUGCCU
rnacentral:piRNA from 1 species